GGAAAAUUUGCUCUUAUGGACCAAGAACAUAUUGCAAUGUUGUGGAAGUUUUUACUUUACUGAGUAAUGUUUAUUUCUUAGCAUUAUUUCAGUGUUUACAUUUUUCAUUUUUGUUUUCUGUCGUUGAAAAAGAAAAAUCUAGGUUAGUGUAAUUUUUUAUUUUUCUGCGGAAGGAGCAAUAUGAGCUAUCAGCUUGAAUUUUGUGUAAUACUAAUGUGUAAUUGAGUGCUUUACUUAAAAGAGUGGUGAAAGUUCUCUCUAGGCUGCUUCUGUAUGAAAAGCCAUGUUGGAAGAUGUGACUGUCCUGUAGGAUGCUUGCUCUGAGUAAUGUAGAUAACCUCUGAAAAAAUCAUUUGGCAUAUACAAAAGUUGGAAUUGAAACUCUUGAUUUGCCUUUAGAUUGCAUUUGAUUCAAGUAUAUGGGCAGGAGAAAAGACAAGGUGUCUAGUAUCUGACCAUACGAACCCUAA